GAUGAACGCUGGCGGCGUGCCUAAUACAUGCAAGUCGAGCGAACAGACGAGGAGCUUGCUCCUCUGACGUUAGCGGCGGACGGGUGAGUAACACGUGGAUAACCUACCUAUAAGACUGGGAUAACUUCGGGAAACCGUAGCUAAUACCGGAUAAUAUAUUGAACCGCAUGGUUCAAUAGUGAAAGACGGUUUUGCUGUCACUUAUAGAUGGAUCCGCGCCGCAUUAGCUAGUUGGUAAGGUAACGGCUUACCAAGGCAACGAUGCGUAGCCGACCUGAGAGGGUGAUCGGCCACACUGGAACUGAGACACGGUCCAGACUCCUACGGGAGGCAGCAGUAGGGAAUCUUCCGCAAUGGGCGAAAGCCUGGCGGAGCAACGCCGCGUGAGUGAUGAAGGUCUUCGGAUCGUAAAACUCUGUUAUUAGGGAAGAACAAAUGUGUAAGUAACUAUGCACGUCUUGACGGUACCUAAUCAGAAAGCCACGGCUAACUACGUG
rnacentral:rRNA from 1 species